CGGACGGGUGGAGUAACGCGUGGAUAACCUGCCGUAUACCGGGGGAGUAACACUUAGAAAUAGGUGCUAAUACCGCAUAAGCGCACGGCUCCGCAUGGGGCAGUGUGAAAAACUCCGGUGGUAUACGAUGGAUCCGCGUCUGAUUAGCUAGUUGGCGGGGUAACGGCCCACCAAGGCAGCGAUCAGUAGCCGGCCUGAGAGGGUGGACGGCCACAUUGGGACUGAGACACGGCCCAAACUCCUACGGGAGGCAGCAG
rnacentral:rRNA from 1 species